UGCUCCUGUGAUGACACUUAUUUGCUACUCUUGAGAAGAUGUGAUGAUACUCCAACCACCAAGUUGUAUUAUCUGAGGCA
ensembl:snoRNA SNORD24 Small nucleolar RNA SNORD24